AAGCUCAAAUUUAAAAUCUGGCGGUCUCCGGCCGUCCUAGAGGGUUUUAGAGAAGCGUUAUCCGUGCUGGACCGUGUAUAAGUCUCCUGGAAUGGAGCGUCAUAGAGGGUGAGAAUCCCGUCUUUGACACGGACUACCAGUGCAUUGUGAUGCGCUCUCGACGAGUCGAGUUGUUUGGGAAUGCAGCUCAAAAUGGGUGGUAAAUGCCAUCUAAAGCUAAAUAUUGGCGAGAGACCGAUAGCGAACAAGUACCGUGAGGGAAAGAUGAAAAGAACUUUGGAAAGAGAGUUAAACAGUACGUGAAAUUGUCGAAAGGGAAACGGUUGCAGUCAGUCGCGUCCGCCGGGGAUCAACCUUGCUUUUGCUUGGCGUAUUUCCCGGUGGAUGGGUCAGCAUCAGUUUUGACCGCAGUUGAAAGGCUGGAGGAAUGUGGCACCUUCGGGUGUGUUAUAGCCUCCUGUCAUAUGCUGCGGUUGGGACUGAGGAACUCAGCACGCCGCAAGGCCGGGAUUCGUCCACGUUCGUGCUUAGGAUGCUGGCAUAAUGUCUGUAACCGACCCGUCUUGAA
rnacentral:rRNA from 1 species